rnacentral:rRNA from 2 species
GAGUAAUGUCUGGGAAACUGCCUGAUGGAGGGGGAUAACUACUGGAAACGGUGGCUAAUACCGCAUAACGUCGCAAGACCAAAGAGGGGGACCUUCGGGCCUCUUGCCAUCAGAUGUGCCCAGAUGGGAUUAGCUUGUUGGUGAGGUAACGGCUCACCAAGGCGACGAUCCCUAGCUGGUCUGAGAGGAUGACCAGCCACACUGGAACUGAGACACGGUCCAGACUCCUACGGGAGGCAGCAGUGGGGAAUAUUGCACAAUGGGCGCAAGCCUGAUGCAGCCAUGCCGCGUGUAUGAAGAAGGCCUUCGGGUUGUAAAGUACUUUCAGCGGGGAGGAAGGUGUUGUGGUUAAUAACCACAGCAAUUGACGUUACCCGCAGAAGAAGCACCGGCUAACUCCGUGCCAGCAGCCGCGGUAAUACGGAGGGUGCAAGCGUUAAUCGGAAUUACUGGGCGUAAAGCGCACGCAGGCGGUCUGUCAAGUCGGAUGUGAAAUCCCCGGGCUCAACCUGGGAACUGCAUUCGAAACUGGCAGGCUUGAGUCUUGUAGAGGGGGGUAGAAUUCCAGGUGUAGCGGUGAAAUGCGUAGAGAUCUGGAGGAAUACCGGUGGCGAAGGCGGCCCCCUGGACAAAGACUGACGCUCAGGUGCGAAAGCGUGGGGAGCAAACAGGAUUAGAUACCCUGGUAGUCCACGCCGUAAACGAUGUCUACUUGGAGGUUGUGCCCUUGAGGCGUGGCUUCCGGAGCUAACGCGUUAAGUAGACCGCCUGGGGAGUACGGCCGCAAGGUUAAAACUCAAAUGAAUUGACGGGGGCCCGCACAAGCGGUGGAGCAUGUGGUUUAAUUCGAUGCAACGCGAAGAACCUUACCUGGUCUUGACAUCCACGGAAGUUUUCAGAGAUGAGAAUGUGCCUUCGGGAACCGUGAGACAGG